GUGUCAGCCGCCGCGGUAAGACGAAGGGGGCUAGCGUUGUUCGGAAUUACUGGGCGUAAAGCGCGUGUAGGCGGUUGUCCAAGUUGGAUGUGAAAGCCUUGAGCUUAACUCAAGAAAUGCAUUCAGGACUGGAUGACUAGAGGACCGGAGAGGAUAGUGGAAUUCCCAGUGUAGUGGUGAAAUACGUAGAGAUUGGGAAGAACACCAGUGGCGAAGGCGGCUAUCUGGACGGUUUCUGACGCUAAGACGCGAAAGCGUGGGGAGCAAACAGGAUUAGAUACCCUCGUAGUCC
rnacentral:rRNA from 1 species